GAUACGCAGACUUAACUGCAGGGACUCUUGGUGACUAGUCUCUGUGGUGCACACUCUCCACCCUACCACCAAAAAGGUCCCCAGUACCCUAAAAGGAACUAUGUACUCAAAUAUCACCUCAAAUAAGAUGAGGUCUUUCUGAGAGAAAAGAGAUGUUGAUGCACGUGACGGGGAGGGCAUAGGAGAGGGUUGAUAUAAAAUGCAAUUACAGCCUCUUAUGCUUUCCAAAGUGGGGGAUGAUUCAAUGAUUCCUGACUGGUCCACAGCCAUAUAUCAAUUGAGGUUAUAAUACUAAUUUGAAUUGCAAAUCUCUGAAAAGAAGGGGACAAGCUAAGGAGAUAAAAUUUAACAGGCCUCUUCCUCCUGCUUGCCACCUCUCAGUCACAAGACGGCUGCUGCGACUCAGGCUCAUGUCCCAAUUCAAGGCAGCAAGAAGGCCAUGGAGCGGCACCUGCCAGCUCCUGUCUCCCCAUCCCCUAGAAUCGUUGACAAAAUGAGUGACACUGCCCUGGGAUCUGGGUCUCUGGUUGAGGCCUUGGAGCUACUGCCUCUGCCUGUGAACUCACCCAUCAUCGCUAACAGGUUGCUCCACAGCCUACAGAUCUCAAUAUUUCGCUAGCACAAAACCCAAGCGGCCAGGCACGGUGGCUCACGCCUGUAAUCCCAGCACUUUGGGAGGCCGAGGCGGGUGGAUCACUUGAGGUCAGGAGUUCGAGACCAGCCUGACCAACAUGGAGAAACCCCGUCUCUACUAAAAAUACAAAAUUAGCCGGGCGUGGUGACACGUGCCCGUAAUCCCAGCUACUUGGGAGGCUGAGGCAGGAGAAUUGCUUGAACACCGGGGGUGGAGGUUGUGGUGAGCCGAGAUUGCACCACUGCACUCCAGUCUGGGAGACAGAGAGAGACCCCAUCUCAAAAGAAAAAAAAAAAAAAAGACCAAGGGACUUCCGGGAACUAAAACAUCUCAGCCCUUUCAUCGCCAGUGUCUUCAUCUUACAAGCAGAAAAGGAAAAAAAGCAGUGGGAAGCAGUAAGAAGCUACCGCUGACUCACUAUGAAUUACUGCUGACUUUGAAUUAUUUAGCAGCUGUGGAAAAGCCAUCUUUUGUUUAAAAAAAAAAUAGGGUUUUCUGAAAUGCUUUUUAUUUUUUUAUUUGUAUAAAUACCUGCCCAGAACAGUCAAGUCAACUGACAUCUGCUAAAUGACUGAGACACUGUGGAAUUUGUAUACUGGCAUGGUGUGCAGUUUCGUGCAAGUAUAACCACAGAGACAGACAAAUCUCUAUCAUUGCCACAGACUGCUUAUAGCAAAAUUCCAGAGCUCCUGUCAUUGGUCUUUAAUAGUUGUGCUUUGUUGCUUUUGUUACCACGUGUGCAUUUGUGUCAACAUUAUACAAAGCACUCUUUCUCACAAGAGCUAGUUUCACUCUACAACCAUACUGUAAGACAGGUAUUGUUUUAAGAUCAAGAAACCAAGGCUCUGAGAGGUUUAGUGACUCACCUAAGAUCAUGAACUAAUAAUAAGUGACGGAUCAGGGACUUGACCUGGGACAUUGAUGCCAAUUCCAGGGCACCUUCCACCGUGUCAUAUGGCACUUGCUCUACAUAUGUGCCAGGCAGCACCCGCAUGGCUUUUCCUCAUGAAACAACGUGGACCCAGGCCUACACAGCAGUUGUGAGAAAGUGCCUCCAGCUGGGAGCGCAUCUGGCCCAGGGCACCAGCUGCCACUCCAUGCUCUGAAUCCAUCCUGGCCUGUGCUGAGACCCCCCCUUUCCAUGGGCUGCUCCCCACCCGUGAUGGGGCAUGGCAGGGGCACUAGGCAGCCCCCUUCCUGAGAGACAUGGGGCUCCUCUGCCUAGAAUGUUGUCUCAGCACUUCUCUUCUGCCUUGCUGAACUUUCCCUAGAGCCAAGGAGGCCUCCAUACAACCUUUCCUCUCCUUCAUUUGGAGUCAGACUUGCACUGCAGUCUAAUGGUCAUCCCACUUUUUUCCAGCUCCCUGAUAAAAUCUAUGGCUUCUGCUUCUUGGAGGACCCAGAUUAUCACAGCUUAUCUCAUUCCUUUGCAGCAGAUGCCCCUGCAGGCCAUCUCUCCAGGCUCAGGAACCUAAAGAAGAAUCUACCCAGAUGUGGUGGCUCACACCUGUGAUCCCACCACUUUGGGAGGCUGAGGCAAGAGGAUCACUUGAGCCCAGGAGUUGGAGACCAACGUAGGCAAUACAGCAAGACUCCCAUCUCUACAAAAAAAAAAAAGAAAGAAAGAAAGAAAGAAAAGAAAUUAGCUGGCUGUGGUGCUGCACAUUUGUAAUACCAGCUACUCUAGAGGCUGAGGCUGGAGGAUCACUUGAGCCGAGGAGUGAGCUAUGACCACACCAUUGCAUUUCAGCCUCAGUGACAGAGCAAGGCCCUGCCUCAAAAAAAAAAAAAAAAAAAGAAAAGAAUAAGAUAAAAUAAAUAAUACAGGAGAACCUAGUGCUCAGGUUCUCUAGUGAAGAGGAAGGCAAAAGAUAGAAAGGUCAGACAAACUUAAACAUGCAUUCCAAGAUCGGCCUGGGUCCGCCCGUAGACAUGAAGGAAUCUUCUGGUGGAAAGUUAGGCAGGGAAACGGACACUGCUAUGAGCAUGUCUUCCUGGGCAGCUUGCGAUGGUCAGGAGGAGGUGGUUGUUCCUCAGCAGCGGUGCUUCCGAUGAAGCCCCAUGUUGUAGUGGAAGACAAGCCAUUCCUGUCUGACCUUCUGUGCCGCGCCUAGGCUUCCAAAAGCUGCUAUCGCCAAGAUCCAUUUCCGUUCACCUUUAAACUGCUUGUUAUGGGGAGGAGUCAGCCAGCCAUGAUGCAUACUUGUUACAGAAAGAAACGCCCACGUUGAGCUCUCCUGAUAAGAAGAGAGAGCAUUCGUCAUUGUCUGUAUCUGUCAUCUGAAGAAGGAACCAAUGUCAAAAAUCCCACACAUUCUCCUCCCGCAAGUCACAGAGUAAGCCUCCCAUUCUUGAGCUCGUUCAUUCACCAAACACAUUCUGAUCUCUCCUGUGCCCAGGCGGUGGGAUUCAGAGAAGAAGUGCUGCCUAGUAGUCAGCACCCAGUGCCAGGAAAACAGGACAAGGGGAGUUGUCGGGGGAGACACCAGGAUUGAAGUUGCUUUUACUAAAAAACAUUUUUUUUAUCUUGUUAACAAAUAUAUUUACCAUGGUACAUGGUGGCAAUGCUCUCAGUUUUAAAACACAGCAAUUAUCUUCCAGUGGUCACUAAUUAAUCCAGGUGUGGCUAGGAACAGCUGGAUACUGAUCUGUGUGAUGAUGGCACCUCUAUCAUCAGGCUGCCAUUGCUGGCACUUUGGGCAAGGUGGACUGGGGUUCUGCUCUGGGGCUGUGUGCCCAAGGUUUACACCUCACUAUUUUACAGCACACUGGAGCUCCCAACAGUCCCCGAAGGUCUGGAGAUCACCAAUGGGCAGGAGAGAAGGGAGGGGUUUAGACAUCAGGGAGCCAAGUUCUACAGCAUCUUCUAGAUCCAGGCUAUCGAGCACUUGAAAUGCGGCUAAGUCUGAAUUGAGAUGUGCUGUGUGUAAGAGACACAACAGAUUUUGAAGACAGUAUGAGAAAAAGAACAUAAAAUAUCUCAGUAAUUUUAUAUUGAUUACAUGUUGAAAUGAUACUAAUUUUUGAUAUACUGGGUUAAAUAAAAUAGAUUAUUAAAAUUAACUUCAUCUCUU
rnacentral:lncRNA from 1 species